AUGGACUCAGACUCAGCUGAGAGGCUGACCAAAGCCCCUGGUGAAUACCUAGUGAGGGGUUGUCCAAGCAUCUACCAAGGAAGCAGGGAUGUGGUGACUCAGCCUCCCUCUGUGUCUGCAGCCCUGGGGAGCUCGGCCAGACUCUCCUGCACCCUGAGCAGUCAGCACAGCAGCUACAAUAUUGGUUGGUACCAGCAGAGCCCAGGAAAGGCCCCUCGGUACCUCAUGUGGGUUUACAGUGGUGGAGGUACCAGCAGGGGCGACGGGAUCCCUGAGCGCUUCUCUGGCUCCAGCUCUGGGGCUGAUCGAUUCCUGUCCAUCAGCAACGUCCAGGCUGAGGAUGAAGCUGAUUAUAUCUGUGGUUAUGGUUAUAGCAGUGGUGGUAGUUAUCGUUACCCACAGUGA